rnacentral:tmRNA from 1 species
GGGAGUGAUCGGCAUAGACAGUCGACCAUGUUCGUUCGUGCGGCGCGAGCACCGUUACCUCGUAAAUCUGACGGAAACCCUAAAUGCUAAAUCAACCGUUUCUCCGUAUUUCGGAGCUAAGGACUUUGCAUUCGUUCCUGCAUAAGGAACGCACUCGCCUCGGGGGAUUCUGACUCGAGGGACGGGUGUUAUAACCUGAAUGUAGGACAGAUGAGCCUUCUCACCUCAUUGUCCGAAUAAAAGAGAUCGCUGGUGCGCGUUUUGUCUGCUUUCUUAACGCAUCGGUUAAACUUCAAGGCAUUCUACCGCCGUAGAUUCGUUAGACGCAUAUCGAUUGCACCGGGGUUCGAUUCCCCGCACUUCCACAA